rnacentral:rRNA from 1 species
UACGCAGGGGGCUAGCGUUGCUCGGAAUCACUGGGCGUAAAGGGCGCGUAGGCGGCCAUUCAAGUCGGGGGUGAAAGCCUGUGGCUCAACCACAGAAUUGCCUUCGAUACUGUUUGGCUUGAGACCGGAAGAGGUUAGUGGAACUGCGAGUGUAGAGGUGAAAUUCGUAGAUAUUCGCAAGAACACCAGUGGCGAAGGCGGCUAACUGGUCCGGUUCUGACGCUGAGGCGCGAAAGCGUGGGGAGCGAACAGG